rnacentral:lncRNA from 1 species
ACAGCCAGCAGCUAUUGUGUGUUGUGGGAGCAAAAGCGCUCUGGUGGCUGGGGUCUCUGACAAGCAGGAGUCAAGCUGGAGCUUUGUUAUGAAAAUCAAGAGCUGGAGGGACACCUCCCCUGUGUGCAGGCCCAGGGCAAGAUGACAGUUUGGUCUGCUUUGUUUGUUGUAAAUAGCAAGAAAAGAAUGUAUGGAGGAGGCAGCU